CGGAGGAAUACAACAUAAAUAGGAAACAAGAUGGCGGCGUCCAUUCAAGAUAUUUGAAUUUAUAAGUGAAAAUGCCAAGUUCUUUUCAUCACGCACGUGCAAUAUGUCUAGCAUACAUGAAGACUGAUUUUAGAGUGUUUGCUUGAAUCCAGAGACAAAAAUAAUGGUAUGAAGCAUCUUCCCAUGGAAUUACCAUUCUGCAUGUCUUACUGAAGUAUUUAUCAUUUCUAGGCCAUUUCCAUAGUCUGAAGUCAUUUAAAAGAAUCAAAAAGUGGUUUUGAACUUCCAUUGUUCCAAUGUCAGAAAUGAUAGGGAUAAAAAGACAAAUAUAGUGUAUUUAAUGUAACUGAAUUUCCUAAAAUAAAAUUAAUGUUUUAAA
rnacentral:lncRNA from 1 species